CGGUCCCAAGGGUUGGGCUGUUCGCCCAUUAAAGCGGUACGCGAGCUGGGUUCAGAACGUCGUGAGACAGUUCGGUCCCUAUCCGUCGUGGGCGUAGGAAAUUUGAGAGGAGCUGUCCUUAGUACGAGAGGACCGGGAUGGACAUACCUCUGGUGUACCAGUUGUCGUGCCAACGGCAUAGCUGGGUAGCUAUGUAUGGACGGGAUAAGUGCUGAAAGCAUCUAAGCAUGAAGCCCCCCUCAAGAUGAGAUUUCCCAACUUCGGUUAUAAGAUCCCUCGAAGAUGACGAGGUUAAUAGGUUCGAGGUGGAAGCGUGGCGACACGUGGAGCUGACGAAUACUAAUCGAUCGAAGACUUAAUCAAUUU
rnacentral:rRNA from 1 species